UACGUAGGGGGCGAGCGUUGUCCGAAGUUACUGGGCGUAAAGCGCGCGUAGGCGGCUUCUUAAGUCUGGGGUGAAAGGUUCAGUGCUCAACACGAACAGUGCCUUGGAUACUGGGAAGCUUGAGUGUGGCAGAGGAUAGUGGAAUUCCCGGUGUAGUGGUGAAAUGCGUAGAUAUCAGGAGGAACACCGGUGGCGAAGGCGGGUCUCUGGGCCGAUACUGACGCUGAGGAGCGAAAGCGUGGGGAGCGAACAGG
rnacentral:rRNA from 1 species